GAGCGGACAGAUGGGAGCUUGCUCCCUGAUGUUAGCGGCGGACGGGUGAGUAACACGUGGGUAACCUGCCUGUAAGACUGGGAUAACUCCGGGAAACCGGGGCUAAUACCGGAUGGUUGUUUGAACCGCAUGGUUCAAACAUAAAAGGUGGCUUCGGCUACCACUUACAGAUGGACCCGCGGCGCAUUAGCUAGUUGGUGAGGUAAUGGCUCACCAAGGCAACGAUGCGUAGCCGACCUGAGAGGGUGAUCGGCCACACUGGGACUGAGACACGGCCCAGACUCCUACGGGAGGCAGCAGUAGGGAAUCUUCCGCAAUGGACGAAAGUCUGACGGAGCAACGCCGCGUGAGUGAUGAAGGUUUUCGGAUCGUAAAGCUCUGUUGUUAGGGAAGAACAAGUACCGUUCGAAUAGGGCGGUACCUUGACGGUACCUAACCAGAAAGCCACGGCUAACUACGUGCCAGCAGCCGCGGUAAUACGUAGGUGGCAAGCGUUGUCCGGAAUUAUUGGGCGUAAAGGGCUCGCAGGCGGUUUCUUAAGUCUGAUGUGAAAGCCCCCGGCUCAACCGGGGAGGGUCAUUGGAAACUGGGGAACUUGAGUGCAGAAGAGGAGAGUGGAAUUCCACGUGUAGCGGUGAAAUGCGUAGAGAUGUGGAGGAACACCAGUGGCGAAGGCGACUCUCUGGUCUGUAACUGACGCUGAGGAGCGAAAGCGUGGGGAGCGAACAGGAUUAGAUACCCUGGUAGUCCACGCCGUAAACGAUGAGUGCUAAGUGUUAGGGGGUUUCCGCUCCUUAGUGCUGCAGCUAACGCAUUAAGCACUCCGCCUGGGGAGUACGGGUCGCAAGACUGAAACUCAAGGAAUUGACGGGGGCCCGCACAAGCGG
rnacentral:rRNA from 1 species